CGCGGUACAUAGUUUUGAGAAGCAGAGCCACAAAAGCAGGAUGCUAACUGUAAGAACUUACCACCUGACAUUCUUGAAGACAGCGGUGAAACAACAGGAAAUGUCCGGAGGGAAACACACAGCAGCGCAGAACUUUGAGACACUAGCAGGCUCCUCCUCCCUCCCACCACAGCUCUGAGAGAAUGUCACUAGGUAAUAAUUGCCAUGGGGAUGGCAGAGCCUGGUGAAGCUGGGGGCGGCUUGACUGAAGUCCAUCGCUGAGUUUGGGAUAUUUAGAAGUAAUGAGGGACCGGACUCGUCAUCACUCGAGAAAACAACCGAACAAAG